AAAUGUUAAUCUCCUUUGGCAACACCCUCACAGACACACCCAGGAUCAAUACUUUGCAUCCUUCAAUCCAAUCAAACUGACACUCAAUAUUAGCCAUCACACCAGGUUAAUGAGUUCCUUCUCUAUUCAAUCCCUCUGCUGUUGGACAAACCUUUUACCUUGCUGUUUGCUUCCGAGAUGGUGAGAGAGUUUGGGUUUGAAGCAGAUGCUGAUCAGUGACCUUCACCACACUUUCCUAGUCACAGUAUCAUAGUUGUUCUGAACCUACCAAGUCAAGCCAAGAGACAGCAUCCUUCCUUUGUGUGUGUGUGUAGAAUUGACACUCUUGCCUUCGCUCUUGUAACAUUUGGAGUUUAUAGGGAACCACAGAGAGAAAACAUCCUCUAUUUUGAUUUCUUCCUGGUAGUUUUACUUUCUCUAAACUUUUUGUUUGGUUCUAGUGGCUCCACAGUGCCUCCUACUCAGCCCUCCAAAACCCAAACUUCCCACCUGUCAAACCACCCUAAGUCCUUAUUUCCCUUCCCCUUCCAGAAGCAGUUAGGAGGAAGGGGGUGUGGUCAGAACCAGACCCACUUCUAACAUUUUCAGAGCCCAAAACAUGAGUAUGAAUGGAGGUCCAUAUACUAUAGGUCUAAAUAUGUUAACAUUAUCAAUCAAAUUUACAAACACGAAAUAAAAUAUAUUUGGCCACCUUCUUUGCCAAAGCCUAAUGAAGAGAAGCUGGUGGGAGACCAUGGGGAGAAGUGGCCCUGGCCUGAAGUCCAUCCCCUCUUCUCUUCCCACCCCUGGUUCCACAGGCACUGCAACAUGAAUCCUGCUCACAUGUGUGGACAGCCCAGCAUGCAAGCUAUAUCCAUGCCCUGCCCCUGUAAACGUGGCUCCCUUUGCCCUCCUGGAGCCUAGAGGUUUUAUGAAAGCAGUGGCACAGUGACCCUCAGGAGGACAGGCAGGGAGGACAGAUGCUCACAGGCCCUGGGCCCAAGCUUGGAGCCUUUGCAUCCUUCAAUCCAAUUAAAUUGACACUCAGUAUUAGCCAUCACACCAAUUAGACAAUUCCAGGGUCCAGAAGGGAACAUAGGCUCCAAUUGGGCCUAUCCCCUUGGCCUGGAGGACUCUCCCUUACAUGGGAAGAAAGACAGCCAGCAAAAUACCAGAGCACAGCCCUCUAAGAAUAAAAGGGAUGAAGGCCUCCCUAGCCUGGUUCAAAGGGCAGGACUGCUCAGGGCUGAUGGACAAGACACAUCUAGUACCUCUUUUCUUCCAUCUCAAACCUGUCCGUGGCACUACUGAAUGGCUCUUUUUUGAGGAAAGAGGGCUUUGUUUUUCAUUUUAUUUUUGCUUUCUCUAAAUAUGCCCUGCAGAUCUUUCCUUUAACAGUGUGGGGACUGAACAAGCAGCUUCUGGCCCUGGCCCUGUUUCUGUAUCUGGAGCAACACAAUAGAACAUCUGCCUUGACCCGGACUGCCUUCCAUUCUGCACAUCAUUUCCCAUCUGUGCCAGGAGAGGGGUGAAGCUGUCAAUACAUAUCAACUGUAUGGACUCCUGCCUGUUCUCUGCUACAAGGGCUGGAAGCUUCCCUGUGAUGAAGAAAGGCAACCUCAAUGCUUCGGAGGCUUAGCACUAUUUGCCCACCCAAGAAUCCAUCAGGAAAACUGAAAUUAUAGAGUACAUUGUGGUGAAGUUGUAACAAAACAGCAACUGAUGAAUAUGAGUUUUUGUCACAUUCCCUAGGCCACUGGAGUCACCCAAUCAUUCCUUCAGCUUCGGCUGACUCUGCAAAGGGCUCUGUGUUCUAGCUCUCGACUUGUGCAGUGGGAGAAGAGUCUUAGUAUAGAGUGGCCCAUUUGAGCGGGGUUCAAUGGGCUGCACCACAGACUCUGGGAUAGCAGGUGAUAUUUCGUAUCGCCUAGGCAGCACUGAAAGGAACAUUAAGCUGCAUUUCCAUUAUCAGUGAGGUCCGUAGUGUCCUGAGGAUCAGAAUCCCAGCAUUCUAAUCAGUCUGCCUAAUAUUUUCCGGGGCAGCCUCCUAAAAUCCUAUGAUUGGUUUGCAUAGGAAGUCUGAACCACCUUUCUUAAGGGAAAAGUGAUCUACAAGAAUGCCCGGAGUAUGAUGAGCCGAGGAGAGAUUCAGUGACAAGUUAAAGAGCCUUGUACUAUGAACAAAAGGAUCACUUCUGGGGAACCUAAGGAUUUCUGCAGAGAGGAGUGGCUCAUUUGGCUGGAGUAUUAAAAUCCACGAAAACUGCUGAAAGAUCAGUAAGGAAAUUUCUGUUCAGAGAGGCCCAGACCCCAGUCUUAGCCUUUGCCCUCGUGUGAAUUACUCUGCAGACCCCAAACCACCUAAUAGUGCUAGAAAAAAAUCUUCUAUUUCUCAUGUUAAAUCAUGAAAUUUUAUAAGUUUAGGUUGAAGAGAAAAGCAAGGACAUCUAAACCGAAUACCAAUGUCAUGCUUAGUUCCUCUGCAAGGUGCCGCCAAGCUGACUUUCAUCCUCCAUGGGACACCUUAAAGGAGAGGGAACUCACUGCUUGUAGCUGUGGACAUUUCUGAUUACUAAAAGUUCUCAUUAUCUAUCAAAGUCCUGAACAUCAAGUGUCUAAAAACAGAGACCUAUAUCUUAACCUCUAGCAUCCUCCCCAAAUGAGGGAGGAUGUGUAUUUGCAAAGUCAGCUGCUGGAAUAGAUGUCACACUGCAAGUAUUGACCUUCACAAAAAUAGAAUAUUUUGCCUAGAAUGUUGGCUAAGGAAUCAGUUUCGUUUUGUGUGUGGCUGUGUGAAGAAAAUAACAUUUUAUUCUGUGAAUAGUUUUAGUAGGGAUACAAAUUUCAGGUUACUAAUGCAUGAAAACACUUUAAAGUAUAUUUCAAGUGAAAAUUAUCAAUAAUCAUGAUAAUAAUAAUAGAAUUCUGCACAGAAUAUAUUCUUCUCGGGCAGUCAGUCUGUGGCAGACAUGCUUGAGGUAGGAAAAUUUAUGCCUGUAUUCAUUCAUUCAUUUAUUUAUACAUUCAUCAAAUAUUUAUUGACUACCAACUAUGGGCUCAGCCCUAAAAUGACUGGGAUGAAAGACCGGAGUUUCUUCCCCUAAGAAGGAGCUCAGAAUCUAGCAGGAAAGAUGAUGAUGUAAACAACUCAUUAUGACACUGAGAAGAGAUGCCAAGGGUUCUGUGGAACUGAGGAUGUGCACCUGGAUUAACUCAGAAGGAAUUUCCCAGGGUAAAUGGGACAUCGCAGAUUGAUAUCAGCUGGUUCUCUUCAUUGCCUCCUCCAGAAUCUCCAGUUCCUUGAUGAGUUAGAGAUACACAACUCCUGGGAUGUUAACUAAAAUUUGCUAUUGUUUUCUGGGCUCUGUUGAGUAAGUAGCCUUACUUUUUGAUGAGAACCAAGAAACCUGAGCAUUGGAUAAAAAUAAAAUAUAAAUUCCACUGAAAUACAAGCAAGUUAUCCUUCAUUCACAGGUAGGCGAAUGAACCAAAUUUCCUUCUUUCACAAGGAUACUGUGAGCUUAAUGAGGCCAAACAAACGCAUGUUUUGACUCACUCAUUUAGGCUAAAUUUACUUUGGAGAAGUGAAUGGGUUAAAGUCAAGACUGAAUGAUCUGGAAUGCAUCUUUUUGAAGGAAAUGGAGCUAUGCAUGUAGAGGAGAAUGAAAAUUAAGGGGAAGUUACAAGACAAAGGUUGGCUAUAUUUUUUUAUAACUUCUGCAGUUGUGUAUUGAAAGGGAAUUUGACUGUGAUGGAGAUUUAUGUCUUGAAGAUAAAUGAAAUUUCUCCAAUUUGUGCUAUUAUGUAGCUCAUCUUUUCACAGAAAUCCAAGACUACUGACAGAUCAAGAGGUUUCACAUUUCAGAUCCUUUCAGCAUUCAGCAAAUGCAAUAAAUAUCAGAGGUGGCCGGUGUUGAAUGUAAGAGCAGAUGUUGUUUCUGCAGGAAGCAGGAUGGAAACUUACAUCUACUGGCUUGCUGCAACUUUGAGGAGACUUUCUUCUAUACCUUCCUCUAAAUGUGACUUGAAACCUUCUGCCGUGAUAUUUUAAUAAACUUUCUAUAUCCUGAUGUUUCCUUUAAGGGUAUCAUUCUUGCCCAAGUUACCACCUUGACAAGAGACUAUCUCCAUAGCCCAUCUGUUAGUUCAAUUAACAGAGGCUUCUGAGAUUUUUGCUUGGGGACUCAGCAUUUAUAUUUAUACCUCAUCCUCUAAGAGUAAUUCUUGCAAAUAAUCUUUGGGAAUGGUGGCUGCUUCCUAUCUAGCUUUGAAGAUCCUGCUUUUAAUGAAGAAUGUUUUUGCCAGAAAAAAAAAGGACUUAAAAUAUCUACCUCCAUGAUUCCAUGUCUUUCUGGAGUGUGGAUUUAUUUUUUGUGGCCAAAUCACCUUCUGUGAAAUGAAGUAUUUGUAUCUUACUUAUGAGGGCCAGGCUUAAGUUCUCUUGGGACAACUGAAUUGCACAGCUGGCUGGAAUUGACACCACAAGUUUUGACUCUUUCUGAAGACAGUAUUAUGGAUGGCUUGCACACACUGGCUUCUUAAAUGUAAUCAAAUGGAGGAGGGGUUCUGUCUCUGUGGUGGGCAAAAGAGAGUGUUUCAGAAAUACAGGUGGAAGGUGCUCUUUGUGUCUGUGCUGAGCAAAAAAAUAAAUUCUGGUCUGGUAAACUGCAUCCAACUCAGUUUGACCAGACAAGCCAAAUUUACAUGUUUCUGGUAUGGAAAGACCUUAAACAUACAAAGAACGUGAUAUGGCAGACACUAAUCAAUGAACCCCUUAAUCCAAAUAUACUCUAGCCUAUGACAGACUCUA